AACGAACGCUGGCGGCAGGCUUAACACAUGCAAGUCGAGCGCGUAGCAAUACGAGCGGCAGACGGGUGAGUAACGCGUGGGAACGUACCCUUCAGUUCGGAACAACCCAGGGAAACUUGGGCUAAUACCGGAUACGUCCGAAAGGAGAAAGAUUUAUCGCUGAGGGAUCGGCCCGCGUCUGAUUAGCUAGUUGGUGGGGUAACGGCCCACCAAGGCGACGAUCAGUAGCUGGUCUGAGAGGAUGAUCAGCCUCACUGGGACUGAGACACGGCCCAGACUCCUACGGGAGGCAGCAGUGGGGAAUAUUGGACAAUGGGCGCAAGCCUGAUCAGCCAUGCCGCGUGGGUGAUGAAGGCCCUAGGGUUGUAAAGCCCUUUCGGCGGGGAAGAUAAUGACGGUACCCGCAGAAGAAGCCCCGGCUAACUUCGUGCCAGCAGCCGCCGUAAUAC
rnacentral:rRNA from 1 species